UACGUAGGGUGCAAGCGUUGUCCGGAAUUAUUGGGCGUAAAGAGCUCGUAGGCGGCUUGUCGCGUCGGCUGUGAAAACCUGGGGCUCAACCCCGGGCCUGCAGUCGAUACGGGCUAGCUAGAAUUCGGUAGGGGAGACUGGAAUUCCUGGUGUAGCGGUGAAAUGCGCAGAUAUCAGGAGGAACACCGGUGGCGAAGGCGGGUCUCUGGGCCGAUACUGACGCUGAGGAGCGAAAGCGUGGGGAGCGAACAGG
rnacentral:rRNA from 1 species